rnacentral:lncRNA from 1 species
CCGUACUUGCCUCAGCAUCACUAUGCAUCUUCCGGAAUCCUGUCCAUGCCGCCUUCUCCUGCUGCUGCUCAACCUCUGCCUAUUGCAGUUACCCCUACAGGUUUAUAACUAGUUAUUGUACAUAUUGUUUUCUUCCUUGUUUGCAUAUGCAUGUCUGUUUAUAGUUUGUCAAUGUUGCAGCCUUGCCAACGACAACAACAACUUCUUCAUCCACGGUCGCAAUGCCUGCUCGAACAACAGCACCAACAUCGUCAGGAGCAGCUUCUGAUCAGACUUCAUCAUCAAGCAAAUGAGUUAUAAAAGAAGAGGACUUUGGAGGUUUGGUUUGCUUAUAACAUUGACACAAUGGCGAAUCGAGAUUACUUUCCCGGGGGAGAAAACACAGGAAGUAACAAACAGGAAAAGGGAAUCCAAGGAAGAACCAUGAUCAUGAUUUAUCUUCUUCAUUCAUCAUGGAGAUGGAUCACAAGGCACAAAGCUCAGAGACCAUCUCCAACUUAACCACACAGCCCCUCUUUGUUCAUACUUCAGCAUCAUCAUCAUCAUCAUCAAUCAUCUAGCUUUAGGGUUUAGCUGUUAGGAUUAGUUUUUUUUUUCUCAAGGAAAUUACAUUCAAUUUUUUCUUCAUCUUCUUUACUUUUUGGCAUAAAGAGUGGAAACCAAAGAAUGGGUCUUUGG